UACGUAGGAGACAAACGUUAUCCGGAGUUACUGGGCGUAAAGGGCGUGUAGGCGGUCUGUUAAGUCUGGCGUGAAAGCUCUCGGCUAAACCGGGAGAGGUCGUUGGAUACUGGCAGACUAGAGGACGGUAGAGGCGUGUGGAAUUCCGGGUGUAGUGGUGAAAUGCGUAGAGAUCCGGAGGAACACCAGUGGCGAAGGCGACACGCUGGGCCGUACCUGACGCUAAAGCGCGACAGCAUGGGGAGCAAACGGG
rnacentral:rRNA from 1 species